rnacentral:RNase_P_RNA from 1 species
AAAGCGGGCUGGAUAGUCGCUCUUUCUUCCGGCGCGGGCCGCGACGAUGAGCGGCCUGUCGCGGGAGGAGGGGGAGGAAAGUCCGAACUCCAUAGAGCAGGGUGCUGGGUAACGCCCAGGAGCCGCAAGGCUACGGAAAGUGCCACAGAAAACAUACCGCCCCGAUUCGUCGGGGUAAGGGUGAAAAGGCGAGGUAAGAGCUCACCGCUCUGAUGGCGACAUCGGAGGCAGGGUAAACCCCACCUGGAGCAAGGCCAAAUAGAGGACCAUGAGGCUGCUCGCUCCGUCCCGGGUUGGCCGCUCGAGCUGAACGGAGACGUUCAGCCCAGAAAAAUGACUAUCCGUGUCCGAAAGGUCAAAUUGGCUUUUCGGGCCCGACAAAAUUCGGCUUAUAGGCCCGCUUUUCUG